GAUGAACGCUGGCGGCGUGCCUAAUACAUGCAAGUCGAGCGAACAGACGAGGAGCUUGCUCCUUCGACGUUAGCGGCGGACGGGUGAGUAACACGUAGGUAACCUACCUAUAAGACUGGGAUAACUUCGGGAAACCGGAGCUAAUACCGGAUAAUAUUUCGAACCGCAUGGUUCGAUAGUGAAAGAUGGCUUUGCUAUCACUUAUAGAUGGACCUGCGCCGUAUUAGCUAGUUGGUAAGGUAACGGCUUACCAAGGCAACGAUACGUAGCCGACCUGAGAGGGUGAUCGGCCAAACUGGAAGUGAGAUAUGGUCCAGACUCCUACGGGAGGCAGCAGUAGGGAAUCUUCCGCAAUGGGCGAAAGCAUGACGGAGCAACGCAGCGUGAGUGAUGAAGGUCUUCGGAUGGUAAAACUCUGUUAUUAGGGAAGAACAAACGUGUAAGUAACUGUGCACGUCUUGGCGGUACCUAAGCAGAAAGCCACGGCUAACUACGUG
rnacentral:rRNA from 1 species